GCAAGUCGGACGGGAUCCAUCGGAGAGCUUGCUCGAAGNUGGUGAGAGUGGCGCACGGGUGCGUAACGCGUGAGCAACCUACCUCUAUCAGGGGGAUAGCCUCUCGAAAGAGAGAUUAACACCGCAUAACAUCAACAGUUCGCAUGUUCNGUUGAUUAAAUAUUUAUAGGAUAGAGAUGGGCUCGCGUGACAUUAGCUAGUUGGUAGGGUAACGGCUUACCAAGGCGACGAUGUCUAGGGGCUCUGAGAGGAGAAUCCCCCACACUGGUACUGAGACACGGACCAGACUCCUACGGGAGGCAGCAGUAAGGAAUAUUGGUCAAUGGGCGGAAGCCUGAACCAGCCAUGCCGCGUGCAGGAUGACUGCCCUAUGGGUUGUAAACUGCUUUUGUCCAGGAAUAAACCUAGAUACGUGUAUCUAGCUGAAUGUACUGGAAGAAUAAGGAUCGGCUAACUCCGUGCCAGCAGCCGCGGUAAUACGGAGGAUCCGAGCGUUAUCCGGAUUUAUUGGGUUUAAAGGGUGCGUAGGCGGCCUAUUAAGUCAGGGGUGAAAUACGGUGGCUCAACCAUCGCAGUGCCUUUGAUACUGAUGGGCUUGAAUCCAUUUGAAGUGGGCGGAAUAAGACAAGUAGCGGUGAAAUGCAUAGAUAUGUCUUAGAACUCCGAUUGCGAAGGCAGCUCACUAAGCUGGUAUUGACGCUGAUGCACGAAAGCGUGGGGAUCGAACAGGAUUAGAUACCCUGGUAGUCCACGCCCUAAACGAUGAUAACUCGAUGUUGGCGAUAGACAGCCAGCGUCCAAGCGAAAGC
rnacentral:rRNA from 1 species